UACAGAGGUGGCAAGCGUUGUUCGGAAUUACUGGGCGUAAAGGGCGCGUAGGCGGCUUGGUCAGUCCCGUGUGAAAUCCCUCGGCUCAACUGAGGAACUGCACGGGAAACUGCCUGGCUUGAGCUCGGGAGAGGGAAGCGGAAUUCCGGGUGUAGCGGUGAAAUGCGUAGAUAUCCGGAGGAACACCGGUGGCGAAGGCGGCUUCCUGGACCGACACUGACGCUGAGGCGCGAAAGCGUGGGGAGCAAACAGG
rnacentral:rRNA from 1 species